GGAAGGGUGGGGAUGACGUCAAGUCAUCAUCGGCCCUUAUCGUCCGAGGGCGACACACGUGCUACAAUCGGCCGGCACGAACGGGAAGCGAGUUCGCGAGGACAAGCGGACUCCCUUAAAGCCGGUCGCAGUUCGGAUUGAAGUCUGCAACUCGACUUCAUGAAGCUGGAAUCGCUAGUAAUCGUGGAUCAGCCAAGCCGCGGUGAAUACGUUCCCGGGCCUU
rnacentral:rRNA from 1 species